UUCAGUUUGUGAUAUUCAACAAGCUUUUUAAUUCAAGACUUUAGGCAUUGAUUUUGUUCCAUAUUAAAACUCCAACUCAAGUGAAUGGCAGAGUCACUGACAGCGUAAUAUAGAAAAAUCCAUCAGAAGCUCUUCAUAGUGGUGAUCCAGUAUGAGUGGCAACUCUGAUCCAGUGCAAGGAUGAACAGAGAGCAAUGUUGGCCUACUGGGCCCUAUUUGUUCUUAAAUCUACUUUAAGUGUAUAAAUGAGACAAAAUAUUGUGCAAAAGCUG